UGGGAUUACAGGUGUGAGCCACUGCGCCUGGCCAUAGUCUAUGGCUUUCUUUGCUGGGGCACCAAUUGCUGGUUCAGUCUGGCACAACCGGAAUAUCAGGGUUGUCUUCACUGACAGACACUGGCAACUUUGUGCUGGAAGAACUUUUUGGGACACUUUUCCUGGGGAGACGAUGGUAGAUUAUAGGUGGUUUGUAGCAGUUACUGAGGACCUUCAAGACUUUUCACCAGAAUGCCAACAUUGGUUGUGAGAAAGGUUAUGCUUGAAGUGCCAAAAGGUUAGAAUAAGAUUGAAAAACAGCAUUUGAGUAGACUGUGGAGUAAUAGAGCUUUGAGAUCCUUUUUGAGGCUUUAUGCUCUUUCAAAGAGGAUGUCUUUUCAAAGAGGAUGGCUUCUGGCAGUGGAGAGUAGUUUUUUCCGUAAAACAUUUAUUUUGUAAAUAUAUAACAAAAGACUGUUUCUACCUAGAUGACUGAAAAAUGGAGCAUUGACUAUAAAACACAUUCUGUUAUAUUUUCCUGACUUGAACAUGAAUACAUGUAUUGUUAAUUUCUCUGACACUGUGUAUUUAAUAUUUCCUGAGUAUGAGUGAAACCUGUUUUGUUAAACAAGGUGAAGAGAAGCUAUAAAAGGUCAGGCUGUUUUUAAAAACAAUUUUUGGUGCAGUGUUUUGAAGACCAAUGUGUUUACUCCUUGAGGAGCUAUUAAUGCUUAAUUGGCUCUUUUGUGUUUAUAGUGCUCUGCUGCAAACACCUUUUCUGAUUUUACCAGUAACUGCACUGCCAUUUCUUUAUACUAGAAGCUAGAAGAUUUGCUGCCAGGCCCAACGUUGUGCAUGUUAUACUUCUAUGCAUGUAUUAUUACUU